ensembl:lncRNA
UGUUAUGCCUUUUGGUCAAAAGUCAGUAGUUAGUGCAAAAUCUGAUUAAGUUACGUAACUAAGGUGAUAAAUAAGUUCAAAGUUAAGAAAUAUUAUAAGUAAUUCAUGCUAAAAACAGUUAAGAUGUGUGUGUUUGAAAUUUGCUCAGAGUGAGACAUCGUUAUCACAAGCGAUCUUUGUAUUGUAUGUGCGGAAAUGGGAGCGAGGGAGCGCUCUGAUCAUUCACCUAUCUUUGACGUAUUUUCUCCGUUAAUGUUGUGAAAAGUGCUUCGGCAGUAUUAAAACUGUGAAUAAGCUCAUGUACACGCUAAAAGUACUCUACACGCUUGUACCUUGGGAAACGUUCGUCUUUAGGGAGUGUUCGCCCGGGGCGCCAAACAGGCUAGGACCGCCACUGUUGCCGACUCAUCUAAUCCUUCCAGGUGAGGAGCAGAACCAGCUGUAUGUGUGGUGAUGCUGAGGCUACAAAACAGGUUGUAUCGAUGAAGUAUGGCACUUUCCCAAUAAGACAGACACGCUGUUUAAAAAUUACAUCAAAACUUUUUUACAGUAUAAGCAGGAGGCAUCCAGUUUCUCAUUCCCAGCAUACCGAUGAUUUGUCACGUCCCGAGGCAUCUUGUAGUAAGGCAAAAGGUACCCUUCGGUGUCCUUAUGAUCCGCUCCGGAUUCAUAAUUGAAUCCAGUAGAAUGCUGCUCGUGGCGGUAACACACGCUCCAGCUGUCUAUUCCAGCUCUAACCCUAACCUUAACCCUAUCAGACAGUGUUUUCCAAAGCGAUCAUGAUCGGAGCGUAAAACACAUUUACAUGUAUAGAUUCAUUCCAAGUGGCUCUCAUGGCACCAAAGGCGUAACAUACAGACGAUUGGUCCCAUAGCGUCGGUGUUGUGGAUGGGUGUAGCUUUGGGUCAUGUGGUGUCGGUAAUAGUGAUCGCUAUAUCACCUGUUCACGGCCUGAGGGAAUUUUUGUGAAUGAGUGGGUGAUGGGGGAAGUCGACUUUUGCUGACCGCUCAAGCUUAGAAUGUUUUUUGAUCACUGUUUUUCUACGGAUUUUAAGGAUUUGAUAACAAAUAAAGGAGUUUUUAAGUCUAGAACUUUGACUUACGUUUUAAACAGCGGGCGCGUCAACAUUAUUCCCCUAUUCAGCUGCUCGGCGACUCAAAGGCUUGACAGUCGCCAAUAUUUGUCAGCAAAAAGUGCGACGGCAAUGGAGCCUCCCGCAAUCAGCGCUGAAUAAACGCCGACGCAAGCCCACACACCGCCGCCACUACAUCCAUAAAAGCGGCUAGUCUGACAGAUAAGGAGAAGACAACGGUAAACUGUAAACUGUGUUUUUGUGCUGCGUAUUGUUUGAACGCAGUUUGGAUUCUGACCAUACGAAGAUGUUUUUGUGACACGCCCACCGCUAC